rnacentral:pre_miRNA from 1 species
AGUUGAAAAUGGUACCAAAGUUGAAAAUGGUACCAAAGUUGAAAAUGGGUACCAUUUUCAACUUGGGUACCAUUUUCAACUUGGGUAUCAUUA